ACAGACAGAGGCACAGAGGUCUUGUCAUACCAGUGUGGCCAAGUGUUCUCAAGCUCCCAGGGAGCCUGGAUCUAUGCGAAGACACAAGAAACAGAUCAAGAAUAGAGUGAGGCCAGGCGUGAGAAGGAGACUGGAAACCAUGACCUUCAAGCACUAGAGGGAAACUCCUCCCUGCAGUGAAGGUCUCCGGUAUUCACCAAAGGCUGUAGGCCUUGCAAAUGGGAAUUUUUAAAGCGGAGAAGAAAUGGUUAGACUUGAUGUUUUAGAAAUCUGAAUCAACGCUUACCAGAGAACUUGUGAAAAACCCACCAUGGCCACCUCCAUGUUUCUCAUUCCAUUGGUCUGAGGCAUGACUUGAGUGACUGGCAUUGCAGCCAUGCCUGAGAAUCAGCAGAAGCAGAAAGAGCCAGCAAGGAAAGGGUACAGACAGAAGACACGAGAGGCUCGGAGAUCAGGUGUCCUGGAAAGACUGCAGGAAGUAUAUGCAUGGUGAUUGGUGUGUCAAAGAGACGACAUACCAGAAGAGGAAACACUGUAGAGAACGUCUUCUUCAUCUUCUGCUGCCUUGGAUGGUCUUUCACUUUUCAGAUAAAAACCAAAAGCCA